ACUUAGUAUGUGUAUCUGCUGUAAAUAUGGACAAAAAUUAACAUAUGUGGGCUUUAGUUGGGCUUGGUUAAAUAGAUUGCCCAUAAAGGACUCACAUACAUUA